AGGCCACUGGGUAAAGGAAGUGGAGCGAGGGCUCAGAUCCUUUCGCUAGCCCACUUCACCGGGGUAGUGCAGAAGCCAGGAAAGUUCCCCAUAAGAGCGGGACUAUCCCCCCGCUUACAUAAGCAACCCAUCUGGAAUCAUGCCUGCUGGAA